UAGUUAUUGUGAUAUUGGCCUGGUUCACUCAGACAUGUAUACCACGGCACGGUUGUGUCCUUGCUAGAAAGAUUUAAAACAAAAUACAUGUUGUGAUUGUGGUUUUGGGUUUGAUUGAGCCGUGCCAAUAUCUCAGUGCUAUUU
rfam:Glycine soja cultivar W05 scaffold1660_43, whole genome shotgun sequence.